rnacentral:rRNA from 1 species
UAAGGAGCUUGCUCCUUUGACGUUAGCGGCGGACGGGUGAGUAACACGUGGAUAACCUACCUAUAAGACUGGGAUAACUUCGGGAAACCGGAGCUAAUACCGGAUAACAUAUUGAACCGCAUGGUUCAAUAGUGAAAGGCGGCUUUGCUGUCACUUAUAGAUGGAUCCGCGCCGUAUUAGCUAGUUGGUAAGGUAACGGCUUACCAAGGCAACGAUACGUAGCCGACCUGAGAGGGUGAUCGGCCACACUGGAACUGAGACACGGUCCAGACUCCUACGGGAGGCAGCAGUAGGGAAUCUUCCGCAAUGGGCGAAAGCCUGACGGAGCAACGCCGCGUGAGUGAUGAAGGUCUUCGGAUCGUAAAACUCUGUUAUCAGGGAAGAACAAAUGUGUAAGUAACUGUGCACAUCUUGACGGUACCUGAUCAGAAAGCCACGGCUAACUACGUGCCAGCAGCCGCGGUAAUACGUAGGUGGCAAGCGUUAUCCGGAAUUAUUGGGCGUAAAGCGCGCGUAGGCGGUUUUUUAAGUCUGAUGUGAAAGCCCACGGCUCAACCGUGGAGGGUCAUUGGAAACUGGAAAACUUGAGUGCAGAAGAGGAAAGUGGAAUUCCAUGUGUAGCGGUGAAAUGCGCAGAGAUAUGGAGGAACACCAGUGGCGAAGGCGACUUUCUGGUCUG